AUAGGGAAAACAGGAAAAAUAUAAAUGGGCAAUGUACAAUGCAAUUGCUCACCACCCACUGACCAAUACCCAGCCCGUUCCUGGCUAGCGAUCCUGAAAUAACCAAGAUUCUGCAAUUGCAGUCCCGGAAGUGAGAGCGAGCCCCUUCCUCAUCACCCCUCCUCUAUAAAGUGAGCAUGGCGUUCCACGAUAUGGAAUAUUUCAU